rnacentral:rRNA from 1 species
CCUACGGGUGGCAGCAGUGAGGAAUAUUGGUCAAUGGGCUUGCGCCUGAACCAGCCAAGUCGCGUGAGGGAAGACUGCCCUAUGGGUUGUAAACCUCUUUUGUCAGGGAGCAACGCCUGCUACGUGUAGCCGGACUGAGAGUACCUGACCAAAAGGCCCCGGCUAACUACGUGCCAGCAGCCGCGGUAAUACGGAGGUGGCAAGCGUUAUCCGGAUUUACUGGGGGUAAAGGUAGCGUAGACGGCAAGGCAAGACUGGAGUGAAAGCCAGUGGCUCAAACACGGGACUGCUUUGGAAACUGUGUGGCUGGAGUGCAGGAGGGGUAAGCGGAAUUCGUAGUGUAGCGGUGAAAUGCGUAGAUAUCAGGAGGAACACCGGUGGCGAAGGCGGCUUACUGGACUGUAACUGACGUUGAGGCUCGAAGGCGUGGGGAGCAAACAGGAUUAGAUACCCUUGUAGUC